CCAACCCAGAACCCGUAAUUCUUGUUUGUCCCAUGAACACUCAAGAACAAGCUGAGCCAGCAAGGAUUCUUCUUAAUCUUCUUUAUUACCAUACCAUCUUACACGUUCCUCCUCCUCUCCAAAAAUGCAACCACUUGGUUUCCAACCCAGCACUCUAUUAUUCUCACCUUGCCUACCAUGUUUGGCUUUGCUGCCUCAUUUAUAUCGCACCAUCACUGAUAAAAAAAGCCCCUCAUUUGGUUCUUGAGCUGCACAGAGAGUACAGUUUGUUGGGUUGGCAUUUUUCUCAGCAAUGGCGCCUAAGAAUAACCCCUUUGAGAUUCCUGAGGGUUGGGUGUUGGAUACAAGGGUCAAGAGGGAUGGGACUGAGAUCAAGGUCAAGAAUUUUACACAUAUGAUGCGCUGAUGCGCUAUAUCAGCUAUGCAAUUCCUGCACAAGUUUCUAUCUAUUCACUGGAUUUCCAAGCCAACAGGCCAGGACGAAUUCCUCAUCAGGCCAGAGCUCAAAUUCACUGGUGACUGAACAGGGUGAGAAAAGCAUUGAUCCUGCAUGCUCAAUUCAAAAGCCAGAUCCAAAACGAAAUGGCAAGUCCAGCACUUCAAAGGCCAAGAAGAAGCAGCAGCGAAAACGAAAGUGAGGAAUCCAAGCUUCCAGUAUAAACAAAGAUUGAACAAUCUUGAUAUGAAUCUUCGCUUGUAGUGAGAAGCCAGAAGUGUGGGCAAUUUUGUAAAGCUAUUGGUUGCCCUUUUUUAGUACUUUGAACAUGGAUAUGUCCCCUUUUUAUUGGGAUCUACCUUCAUUCUGUGAUGCUUAAACCUCGAAAUCCUUUUA